rnacentral:lncRNA from 1 species
CUCACUCGUCACAAAAGAGCCUCAGUUCGAUGCUGAAUUUUGGUUCUGUUGAACUGUUAGACUGCAGUCUUGAUCUUUUGUUUUACGCCCUGUUGCAAUUUUUGCAAGCCUUGGCUGGAAGUCCCUUCAGAAGGGAUCUGAAAGAGGAUGAGAAGCGCAAGACUCCAGGAAAGAGAUGGAGAGCACCCUGUAACAGUGCAGAGCUCUCACUACACCCAAAUGGCUUAAAGUCUGAAGGUAUUGCCUAAGGAAGGAACGAUAGGAGACAAUAACAAGGAAAACAAGCCCAAGCUGAUGGACAGAGAGGUUUAUAAAAUGUGAUUUACUUUGGUUCCUUUCUAUCACUACCUAAAU